CGCAAGCCUGACGGAGCAACGCCGCGUGAUGGAUGAAGGCCCCUGGGCUGUAAACCUCUUUUAUCAAGGAAGAAGAUCUGACGGUACUUGAUGAAUAAGCCACGGCUAAUUCCGUGCCAGCAGCCGCGGUAAUACGGGAGCGGCAAGCGUUAUCCGGAAUUAUUGGGCGUAAAGCGUCCGCAGGCGGCCCUGAAAGUCUGUCGUUAAAGCGUGGAGCUCAACUCCAUUUCAGCAAUGGAAACUACAAGGCUAGAGUGUGGUAGGGGCAGAGGGAAUUCCCGGUGUAGCGGUGAAAUGCGUAGAUAUCGGGAAGAACACCAGUGGCGAAGGCGCUCUGCUGGGCCAUAACUGACGCUCAUGGACGAAAGCCAGGGGAGCG
rnacentral:rRNA from 1 species